UACCUUUUAUUCAAUAGAUUACUUAUGAUAAUAUAUAUUUCUUAUUCGCGUUUAAUUAGAUUUACUAUUUGGUAAAUUUACCGAUAAGUCAAACAAUCUUCCAGACAUGAAUGAAAAUCGGAACGCACCACUGCGCACUGGCAAUCCUAGCAAGACCCAACGUCAAGAGAAAAAAACAACGAGGAAAAAACAGAAAUUUCGCGGUAUUCAAAGUUACUCGAGCGACUUGAGCGAGUGGCGUCUUCAAGUUUCUUGCUUAAGCUUAUCAUUAAGUGUAUUAGGCAGUUGAUAAAUCACAGUGUUGUGGGGAUUGCGGUCUCAGUUCUGGUACAGGGAAUCAUUUCCAAAGCGAGUUGCAGCACAAUUGCAGCUGCACCAAGAAGCAGGGAAUGUACCUGACCGGUUCGAGACGUGUUUUGUGAGACGUAGCAUACGCGUGUUCAUUCCACCGCCCGGAACGAAAAAAAAGAAUAAGUUGUUUACUUGUACGGCAGCACGGUUUCCUGGGUGAGUUUAAACCAUGAAUACGUAAAGAUGUAUGUUAUUUGUUGGGAACAUUCGACAUGAAAUCACUGGAAAAAACAACAUUAGGCUGAAGAAAGUAAUGGGAAGCACGGUAGUGCCUCCGCCAAGACGAAUACUACCUACAUUUUUGAAUUACAUAGUAUUUUGUAGAAUUCUGGCGUUGAGUAGCCACGAUAUCGCCAUAAUGGUUAUUUAUACGCCAAACGAGUGUAGGCUAACUAACUGUGUUAAUUAUUUUCAGCUGGCAUCAUGGCAAGUUUAUACAGUCGGGUUAAGCUGCGCCAUGAAAAGUUACUAACGGUGACUGCGGACUCUCAGGCCCUCUGGGAGCAAUUGCAAGCAGACGGAGUUGUCAGUGAAGACAAGUUCACGGCACUCCACCUAAAAUUGAAACAGUGCUUGGGGACCUUUGAGAAGGAGAUAUUUCAAUAUUUAAGUGUGGUGCCGGAUGCAGACGUGGUUAGCAUGACACAGGAUCAACUCAAGGCCGAAGAUAUAUUGACAGAACUGGAAAUUGCAUGGCAGAUUAACAAGAGGCGAAGUGGAGCUGUCAAUAAGUCAAAGCUACCCGAGUUGAGCCUGCCAACCUUCUCAAUUCAAUUCAAUUCAAUUCAAAUAUACUUUAUUCAUGUAGGCCUAGCAACAAGCACUUAUGAAUAGUAAGACAGUAUUACAUAUAAUUAUCUUAAUCUAUCAGAGCAAUUUAUUGAUGUUGUAAAUAUUAUUCCAUAUAUAAUACUAAUGAAUAUAAUUCAUAGAUCAAAUUUAAUACUAAAACUUUCACAAAAUACAGUCAUACAAAAAAAAAUGUAUAAAAAAUACUAGUCUAGAUUGUUUCUAGAAUAAAUUCUAAAUGUCAAACAAAUAUAAUAAAAACAACAAAGGAAAUACAUGCAUUGGAAUAUCCAUUUCAUCAUCAUUAUUCAAAUAUAAUAAAUAAUUAAUCAUUUCGAAUCACAA